rnacentral:tRNA from 1 species
GCGAAGGUGGUGGAACGGUAGACACGUCAGCUUGAGGGGCUGGUGCCAUUUUUGGUGUGAGGGUUCAAAUCCCUUUCUUCGCACCA